rnacentral:rRNA from 1 species
AGAGUUUGAUCCUGGCUCAGGAUGAACGCUGACAGAGUGCUUAACACAUGCAAGUCGAUUCAAGUUACCUUCGGGUAAUGAGGAUGGCGGACGGGUGAGUAACGCGUAAGGAACUUGCCUCUUGGUCUGGGACAACUGUUGGAAACGACAGCUAAUACCGGAUAUUAUGAGAUUCUCGCAUGAGAAACUUAUGAAAGCUAUAUGCGCCAAGAGAGAGCCUUGCGUUCCAUUAGCUAGUUGGUGGGGUAAUGGCCCACCAAGGCGACGAUGGAUAGCCGGCCUGAGAGGGUGAACGGCCACAAGGGGACUGAGACACGGCCCUUACUCCUACGGGAGGCAGCAGUGGGGAAUAUUGGACAAUGGGCCACAAGCCUGAUCCAGCAAUUCUGUGUGCACGAUGAAGGUCUUCGGAUUGUAAAGUGCUUUCAGUUGGGAAGAAGAAAGUGACGGUACCAACAGAAGAAGCGACGGCUAAAUACGUGCCAGCAGCCGCGGUAAUACGUAUGUCGCAAGCGUUAUCCGGAUUUAUUGGGCGUAAAGCGAGCGCAGACGGUUGAUUAAGUCUGAUGUGAAAGCCCGGAGCUCAACUCCGGAAUGGCAUUGGAAACUGGUUAACUUGAGUGUUGUAGAGGUAAGUGGAACUCCAUGUGUAGCGGUGGAAUGCGUAGAUAUAUGGAAGAACACCAGUGGCGAAGGCGGCUUACUGGACAACAACUGACGUUGAGGCUCGAAAGUGUGGGUAGCAAACAGGAUUAGAUACCCUGGUAGUCCACACCGUAAACGAUGAAUACUAGGUGUUAGGAGGUUUCCGCCUCUUAGUGCCGAAGCUAACGCAUUAAGUAUUCCGCCUGGGGAGUACGCCCGCAAGGUUGAAACUCAAAGGAAUUGACGGGGACCCGCACAAGCGGUGGAGCAUGUGGUUUAAUUCGACGCAACGCGAGAAACCUUACCAGCGUUUGACAUCCUAAGAAGUUUCCAGAGAUGGAUUCGUGCCGGCUUGCCGGAACUUAGUGACAGGUGGUGCAUGGCUGUCGUCAGCUCGUGUCGUGAGAUGUUGGGUUAAGUCCCGCAACGAGCGCAACCCCUAUUGUAUGUUGCUACCAUUAAGUUGAGCACUCAUGCGAUACUGCCUGCGAUGAGCAGGAGGAAGGUGGGGAUGACGUCAAGUCAUCAUGCCCCUUAUACGCUGGGCUACACACGUGCUACAAUGGGCAGUACAGAGAGUUGCCAACCCGCGAGGGUGAGCUAAUCUCUUAAAGCUGUUCUUAGUUCGGAUUGUACUCUGCAACUCGAGUACAUGAAGUUGGAAUCGCUAGUAAUCGCAAAUCAGCAUGUUGCGGUGAAUACGUUCUCGGGUCUUGCACACACCGCCCGUCA